CAGCAGCCGCGGUAAUACGUAGGGUGCGAGCGUUAAUCGGAAUUACUGGGCGUAAAGCGUGCGCAGGCGGUUCGUUAAGACAGAUGUGAAAUCCCCGGGCUUAACCUGGGAACUGCAUUUGUGACUGGCGAGCUAGAGUAUGGCAGAGGGGGGUAGAAUUCCACGUGUAGCAGUGAAAUGCGUAGAGAUGUGGAGGAACACCGAUGGCGAAGGCAGCCCCCUGGGCCAAUACUGACGCUCAUGCACGAAAGCGUGGGGAGCAAACAGGAUUAGAUACCCGUGUAGUCCCUGUCUCUUAUAC
rnacentral:rRNA from 1 species